UACGUAGGUGGCGAGCGUUGUCCGGAUUUACUGGGCGUAAAGAGCGCGCCGGCGGUCGUUCAAGUCGCGUGUGAAAGCCCCCGGCUCAACUGGGGAGGGUCACGCGAUACUGAUCGACUCGAAGGCAGGAGAGGGUAGUGGAAUUCCCGGUGUAGUGGUGAAAUGCGUAGAUAUCGGGAGGAACACCAGUGGCGAAGGCGACUACCUGGCCUGUUCUUGACGCUGAGGCGCGAAAGCUAGGGGAGCAAACGGG
rnacentral:rRNA from 1 species